UUUCUGUGCUUUUACAAUGGUUCUAAUUAAGUAACCACCACUCUUGAAUACUUUUCUAGACACCAAUCGAUUAAUCAACUCCAAACUCAGUUCGCUUUUGGUUUCUAUCACUAUGACUUAAUAUAAUUUUUUCAAGAAAUUUAUGGUCUCAUACACAUCCUAUCUUUUAAAUUCUUCACAAUGAUGCAUAAGCAUACUUAAAUCAUGAUAACAUAAUUUAAAUCAAUAUGUCUAAACAUAUCUCUAAGAUAGAUUAGGGUUUGGAUGUUUAAUCAGAUUCAACUCUUGGCCCGAUUCGAACCAAAUCGAAACCCUAGC
rnacentral:lncRNA from 1 species